CUUUGUGACAUACCUAUAACUGUUGCUUCGGCGGGUAGGGUCUCCGCGACCCUCCCGGCCUCCCGCCUCCGGGCGGGUCGGCGCCCGCCGGAGGAUAACCAAACUCUGAUUUAACGACGUUUCUUCUGAGUGGUACAAGCAAAUAAUCAAAACUUUUAACAACGGAUCUCUUGGUUCUGGCAUCGAUGAAGAACGCAGCGAAAUGCGAUAAGUAAUGUGAAUUGCAGAAUUCAGUGAAUCAUCGAAUCUUUGAACGCACAUUGCGCCCGCCAGCAUUCUGGCGGGCAUGCCUGUUCGAGCGUCAUUUCAACCCUCAAGCUCUGCUUGGUGUUGGGGCCCUACAGCUGAUGUAGGCCCUCAAAGGUAGUGGCGGACCCUCCCGGAGCCUCCUUUGCGUAGUAACUUUACGUCUCGCACUGGGAUCCGGAGGGACUCUUGCCGUAAAACCCCCCAAUUUUCCAAAGGUUGACCUCGGAUCAGGUAGGAAUACCCGCUGAACUUAAGCAUAUCAAUAAGCGGAGGAA
rnacentral:rRNA from 1 species